rnacentral:rRNA from 1 species
ACGCUGACAGAAUGCUUAACACAUGCAAGUCAACUUGAAUUUGGGUUUUUAACUUAGAUUUGGGUGGCGGACGGGUGAGUAACGCGUAAAGAACUUGCCUCACAGCUAGGGACAACAUUUAGAAAUGAAUGCUAAUACCUGAUAUUAUGAUUUUAAGGCAUCUUAGAAUUAUGAAAGCUAUAAGCACUGUGAGAGAGCUUUGCGUCCCAUUAGCUAGUUGGAGAGGUAACAGCUCACCAAGGCGAUGAUGGGUAGCCGGCCUGAGAGGGUGAACGGCCACAAGGGGACUGAGACACGGCCCUUACUCCUACGGGAGGCAGCAGUGGGGAAUAUUGGACAAUGGACCGAGAGUCUGAUCCAGCAAUUCUGUGUGCACGAUGAAGUUUUUCGGAAUGUAAAGUGCUUUCAGUUGGGAAGAAAGAAAUGACGGUACCAACAGAAGAAGUGACGGCUAAAUACGUGCCAGCAGCCGCGGUAAUACGUAUGUCACGAGCGUUAUCCGGAUUUAUUGGGCGUAAAGCGCGUCUAGGUGGUUAUGUAAGUCUGAUGUGAAAAUGCAGGGCUCAACUCUGUAUUGCGUUGGAAACUGUAUAACUAGAGUACUGGAGAGGUAAGCGGAACUACAAGUGUAGAGGUGAAAUUCGUAGAUAUUUGUAGGAAUGCCGAUGGGGAAGCCAGCUUACUGGACAGAUACUGACGCUAAAGCGCGAAAGCGUGGGUAGCAAACAGGAUUAGAUACCCUGGUAGUCCACGCUGUAAACGAUGAUUACCAGGUGUUGGGGGUCGAACCUCAGCGCCCAAGCAAACGCGAUAAGUAAUCCGCCUGGGGAGUACGUACGCAAGUAUGAAACUCAAAGGAAUUGACGGGGACCCGCACAAGCGGUGGAGCAUGUGGUUUAAUUCG